CUUCAGCGACCCCAGCCACAGCGGCCUGUCCGCGGGGCGGCCCUGCCCAUAGGUGGCCAGGACGGCCUCCGCUUC
rnacentral:antisense_RNA from 1 species